GAUGAACGCUGACAGAAUGCUUAACACAUGCAAGUCGAUGGGGAAGUGGUGCUUGCACCAUGGCAACCAUGGCGGACGGGUGAGUAACGCGUAAGGGACUUACCUGCAGGACUGGGAUAACAGGGGGAAACUCCUGACAAGACCGGAUAAUGUCAUGGAGCUGCAUGGCUUUAUGAUGAAAGGAGACGCCUGCGGAGAGCCUUGCGUCCUAUUAGCUAGUUGGUGAGGUAAUGGCUCACCAAGGCGAAGAUAGGUAGCCGGCCUGAGAGGGUGGACGGCCACAGGGGGACAGAGAUGCGGCCGUUACGCAUACGGGAGGCAGCAGUGGGGAAUAGUGGAAAAGGGGGGAAACACUGAACCAGAAAUUCUGUGUGCACGAAGAAGGUUUUCGGAUUGUAAAGUGCUUUCAGGAGAGAAAAAGUAAGUGACGGUACCGGCAGAAGAAGCGACGGCUAAAUACGUG
rnacentral:rRNA from 1 species